rnacentral:rRNA from 1 species
AUUGAACGCUGGCGGCAGGCCUAACACAUGCAAGUCGAGCGGAUGAAGAGAGCUUGCUCUCUGAUUCAGCGGCGGACGGGUGAGUAAUGCCUAGGAAUCUGCCUGGUAGUGGGGGACAACGUUUCGAAAGGAACGCUAAUACCGCAUACGUCCUACGGGAGAAAGUGGGGGAUCUUCGGACCUCACGCUAUCAGAUGAGCCUAGGUACGAUUAGCUAGUUGGUGAGGUAAAGGCUCACCAAGGCGACGAUCGUUAACUGGUCUGAGAGGACGAUCAGGCACACUGGAACGGGGACAAGGUCCAGACUCCUACGGGAGGCAGCAGUGGGGAAUAUUGGACAAUGGGCGAAAGCCUGAUCCAGCCAUGCCGCGUGUGUGAAGAAGGUCUUCGGAUUGUAAAGCACUUUAAGUUGGGAGGAAGGGCAGUAAGUUAAUACCUUGCUGUUUUGACGUUACCGACAGAAUAAGCACCGGCUAACUUCGUGCCAGCAGCCGCCGUAACAC